rnacentral:rRNA from 1 species
CCGGCACGGGUGAGUAACACGUAUCCAACCUGCCGUCUACUCUUGGACAGCCUUCUGAAGGAAGAUUAAUACAAGAUGGCAUCAUGAGUCCGCAUGUUCACAUGAUUAAAGGUAUUCCGGUAGACGAUGGGGAUGCGUUCCAUUAGAUAGUAGGCGGGGUAACGGCCCACCUAGUCUUCGAUGGAUAGGGGUUCUGAGAGGAAGGUCCCCCACAUUGGAACUAAGACACGGUCCAA